rnacentral:rRNA from 1 species
UACGAAGGGGGCUAGCGUUGCUCGGAAUUACUGGGCGUAAGGCGCACGUAGGCGGCUUUCUAAGUCGGGGUGAAAUCCUGGAGCUCAACUCCAGAACUGCCUUCGAUACUGGAGAGCUCGAGUCCGGGAGAGGUGAGUGGAACUGCGAGUGUAGAGGUGAAAUUCGUAGAUAUUGCAAGAACACCAGUGGCGAAGGCGGCUCACUGGUCCGGUACUGACGCUGAGGUGCGGAAAGCG